GUUGUGACAGGUUACUGUUACGGUUACAGACAGGAGGGGAACACCGAGGGUGACAGGUGAACUUUAUUUAAUGACAGCCAGGAGAGCGUUAGGAAAGGGGAAGUGGAUGUAGGGAGGUCACUGAGGUAAACUGAGACUGGGGAACCACUGGAGAAGCCAUGGAUGACUGGAGAGACACCGGAAACAGGGGAAAGCACUGGAAACGAUCACAAAGAGAACUUGUGUUAUAGGGUGAGCAGAGUCCUAGACGCAAACAAGGUCAGACACUGAAUGAGGUGAGUGGUGUGCUUAUAUACUGGCUGUGAUUGGGGCUGAUUGAGAGCAGGAGUGUAACUGGGAGCAGGUGUGGGUGAUUACAGGCUGGUGAGGCCAUGACAGGCUGUGACAGUUACCAGUAGAUGGUAGUAUUUGUUUAGUGACGUGUUGGGGCCCAAUAAAAAGGUCUUCAAAUAUCAAACCUCCAGCCAGAAACCUGGGUGUGAUAUCCAACAGUGACCUUUUAUUUGAACAACAAAUCACAAAUGGUGUUCGAACUUGUUUUUAUCAAUUAAGAAGCAUCUCAAAGAUCAGGUCUUUUCUCUCUCAGCCUGAUCUCAAGAAGUGAUCACCUUUAAAGCACUUCAUGGUUCAGCUCCCAGCUACAUUGCUGAAUUGCUGCUUCCCUAUGAGCCAGUGCGCAGCCUCAGAUCUUCGGGCAGGGCUCUGCUGGCUGUUUCUGAGCCCCGGCUAAAGACUGAAGGUGACCAGGCUUUUGAAGUUCAGGCCCCUCGGCUCUUGAACUCCCUGCUCGAGGAUCUGAGAAAACUCCAGGACCAGGAUACCAAACCAGAACCCAGUCCAGGACCAGUUUCAUCUUCAAUCAGAAGGAGAGUUUUAGGGACUCAUCCAUUUGACCACAGGGAUGUACUGGUGUCCAGGGGAGACUCCGUCAUGUUCACUUGCAACAUAUCCAAUGCAAAUACAACGCAAAUCAACUGGACCAAAGGCAGAUCUGUUUUUGCUUAUUCAAUCUUACACAAUCAGACUUUUUCAAAUUUCACCUCUCACAGACUGAGAAUAGACCUAAACUUACCUUCAAAGCUGAAUAUUUUUAAUGCUCAGCAUGACGACGCAGGACUCUAUGUAUGUAAUGUGGCUGGUAAACGUGGUCUAGCGACUACUGAGUGGAAUUUAACGGUGUCUGAGAAACCUGAAGAAAUCAGUCCAUCGUGGUAUUUUCUAUACAUGCUCACACCUGCAAUUGGAUUUCUUCUAUGUGGCUUCACUCCAGCUGUCUGCCUCUGCAGAAAACUCAGGACCAGGACACCAAACCAGAACCCAGUCCAGGACCAGUUUCAUCUUCAGUCAGAAGGAGAGGUGGUCCUCCGUCAACCGCAGGGUGGCACAGACAGUAGGACAAAUAACCAGCAGAGGAGUCAGUACAUGGAGAGGGUCAAUUCAAUCUAUGGUCUCUAAAGUUAAACAAGAGACGUGAACAGAGUGUACAAGAGGAUUCAAAUGUGAUGGGUAUUACAUUUUUCAAUGUCAAACCAGGUGUUUCAUAGGAAGUAAAUUGGAGAGAGGACAACUGGGUCACUGAUGCCUUUGGCUUAUCUAAUAUUAAUACAUUAAAACCAGUACCUUCACUGUUCUGCCGUGUUUUCCUGUCUGUCCUGCACUUUGAACUCAGCAAGGCAAGUUCCUAACAAUGUUUGUUUUAAUGGAAAU